UUGAUUUUUAAAGGAUGUGCUGGCUGCCCUCACGGGUCUGCAUGUGCACUCCACAAAAUCUCCAUUCUCUACACCAUUGUGCAUAACCCAGUAGGCAAAACAGGUUCACAGAGCAAUCUGUGCACAUUGUUUGCCUAUGCUUUUUAUAUCAAAACCCACUAAUAUAUCAGAAUGAUGUAUUGUAGUAAGCUUUUAUAAGCUGAAAUCUAAUA
rnacentral:misc_RNA from 1 species